UACGUAGGGCGCAAGCGUUGUCCGGAAUUACUGGGCGUAAAGGGCGCGUAGGCGGCGUGGUAAGUCAGCUGUGAAAUCUCCGAGCUUAACUCGGAACGGUCAGCUGAUACUGCUGUGCUAGAGUACAGAAGGGGCAAUCGGAAUUCUUGGUGUAGCGGUGAAAUGCGUAGAUAUCAAGAGGAACACCUGAGGCGAAGGCGGGUUGCUAGGCUGAUACUGACGCUGAGGAGCGAAAGCGUGGGGAGCGAACAGG
rnacentral:rRNA from 1 species